rnacentral:rRNA from 1 species
UACGUAGGCAGCGAGCGUUGUUCGGAGUUACUGGGCGUAAAGCGUGCGUAGGCGGUGUCUUACGUUUGUUGUGAAAUCUCCCGGCUUAACCGGGAGGGUGCGGCGAAUACUGAGAUGCUGGAGUGCCGGAGAGGUAAGCGGAAUUCCCGGUGUAGCGGUGAAAUGCGUAGAUAUCAGGAGGAACACCUGCGGUGUAGACGGCUGACUGGACGGUAACUGACGCUGAGGCACGAAAGCGUGGGUAGCAAACAGG